UGGUAGUUGUGUACAGUUCAACAAACUUAGUUUGGCAUUUUUUUAUUUGUUUUUAUUAUGUCUUCUACAAAAUUCUAAUCAUUUUAGAUAAAGAAUAAAUUCGAACGAAAAUAGGAUGACGUCUUUAGGCAAAUUUCGGCCUAGUAAGGCCCAGAUUCACGGUGUAUGGCCUGAGCGGGAGUCAGGCCGGCCCAUUUAUAAGGCCUGGAUUGCAGGUUGAUUUCGAUAAAGUUUGAGGGUCUGUUUCUAAAACAAUUGAGAGGAGGCAUGGACUGCGGCUUGAUUCCACUGAAUUUUGAGGGCAUUUUUGCAAAACGACCAGGGAGAGCACGAUCUGCCCCGUUCUUGAGCCCGAUCCGACGGCCGAGAAAUACCUAUGACGUGGCCACGUUGGCUGGCCUUUUUUGAUGCACGAAUCGUAUUAAGGAGAUGAUGGGCCUCAGAGAGCACGAAAGUCCAA
rnacentral:lncRNA from 1 species